GACGAACGCUGGCGGCGUGCUUAACACAUGCAAGUCGAACGAAAAGACGGAAAGAGCUUGCUCUUUUCAGAAUUGAGUGGCAAACGGGUGAGUAACACGUAAACAACCUGCCUUCAGGAUGGGGACAACAGACGGAAACGACUGCUAAUACCGAAUAAGCUCCAAGAGCCGCAUGGCCCAUGGAAGAAAAGGUGGCCUCUACCUGUAAGCUAUCGCCUGAAGAGGGGUUUGCGUCUGAUUAGCUGGUUGGAGGGGUAACGGCCCACCAAGGCGACGAUCAGUAGCCGGUCUGAGAGGAUGAACGGCCACACUGGAACUGAGACACGGUCCAGACUCCUACGGGAGGCAGCAGUGGGGAAUCUUCCGCAAUGGGCGAAAGCCUGACGGAGCAACGCCGCGUGAGUGAUGACGGCCUUCGGGUUGUAAAACUCUGUGAUCCGGGACGAAAAGGCAGAGUGCGAAGAACAAACUG
rnacentral:rRNA from 1 species